CUUCCUCCGCCUGUUGAGGGCAGAUGAAGUGAAUAUGCGUAUCAAUCCCACCCGCAGUGAUAAUCUUGCCCUCACCAGCAAUAACAUCCGUACAGCUCCCCACCACCAUCCCCUCCGUCACCCCAUCCAUCACAUCCGGAUUCCCUGCCUUGCCAAUCCCGACAAUAAACCCCUCCUUAACCCCAAUGUCCGCCUUGUAAAUCCCCGUCCAGUCCACAACCAAUGCAUUCGUCACCACCAGAUCAAGCGUAUCCCUAUCCGACCGCCCGGUCGCCUGCCCCAUCCCCUCACGAAG
rnacentral:sRNA from 1 species